rnacentral:rRNA from 1 species
GACGAACGCUGGCGGCGUGCUUAACACAUGCAAGUCGAACGGAAAGGCCCUGCUUGCGGGGUACUCGAGUGGCGAACGGGUGAGUAACACGUGGGUGAUCUGCCCUGCACUUCGGGAUAAGCCUGGGCAACUGGGUCUAAUACCGGAUAGGAGCCAUUUUUAGUGUGAUGGUUGGAAAGUUUUUUCGGUGUAGGAUGAGCUCGCGGCCUAUCAGCUUGUUGGUGGGGUAAUGGCCUACCAAGGCGGCGACGGGUAGCCGGCCUGAGAGGGUGGACGGCCACAUUGGGACUGAGGUACGGCCCAGACUCCGACGGGAGGCAGCAGUGGGGAAGAUUGCACAAUGGGCGCAAGCCUGAUGCAGCGACGCCGCGUGGGGGAUGACGGCCUUCGGGUUGUAAACUCCGUUCGCUAGGGACGAAGCUUUUUGUGACGGUACCUAGAUAAGAAGCACCGGCUAACUACGUG